UACCCUGAGCGGCGGAUCACUCGGCUCGUAGUCGAUGAAAGACGCAGCAACUGCGCGUCGC
rnacentral:rRNA from 1 species